GAGACCGCGAGGUGGAGCGAAUCUAUAAAAGCGGUCUCAGUUCGGAUUGCAGGCUGCAACUCGCCUGCAUGAAGUCGGAAUUGCUAGUAAUCGCGGAUCAGCAUGCCGCGGUGAAUACGUUCCCGGGCCUUGUACACACCGCCCGUCACACCAUGGGAGCCGGUAAUACCCGAAGUCAGUAGUCCAACCUCGUGAGGACGCUACCGAAGGUAGGAUUGGCGACUGGGGUGAAGUCGUAACAAGGUACC
rnacentral:rRNA from 1 species